rnacentral:lncRNA from 1 species
AAUCUUAAUUAAUUAUAAUCUAUAAAGUCACACAGUACAGUUUAAUUAUUUAUUUAGCUUUAAUACCGUGAUAGGAAAUAGGGUGAGGGGUCCUUACUUGUUUCGGGGUCUGAAUACGGCUCUACAGUGCGCCUACAGGCUGUCCCUAAUUUCCCUGAAUUUUUUCUAGAAAAUUGAAAGGCACUACCGGUACCUGCACGUCUCCCAAAAAAUCUCAAAUCAGACCUAGGGCCCCUUUCGGCCAAUAUCGCAAUUCCACUUGCGGCGGCGAUUCACCUUGGGUUGGCCGUUUUCGGCCGAAUUCGGCCACACUUGCAUCGGUCCCUACGAUAAAACAACCCUAGGGCCCUUGGUGGGCCAAAAAAUCAUGAAAAAUCGAAACUUACCAGCGGCGGUGCUCUCGGGUGCGACAGCUCCUCCGGCAUGAGUUGUGUUUUGAUGUUUGGCUCCGAUCAACCUAUAGAGAAAAGAAUGGUGAUCACAGUGGUAUAAAAAUUGCAUCGAACGAAGGCCGGGAAGAGCCUCAUCAGAGGCAAAAAUUGAGGAGGGGCGCGGCGGUGCCGCUGGGCUUCGGCUGGGUUUUUUCGGUCGUUUGGUCGGUGGUUU